CUUCCGCUGACUAUUCCAUAAAACGACCGUGCAUCAGAUCCAAACCACAUGAUGUUUAUGACAGCAUAUAUAUAGAUAACACAUCCGAAUCAACACGAGAACAACAACCAUACAUCACAGACAUGAAAACAACAUUAUAAACUUCAAUAGGAGAAAGUCAAUCAAUCUGUUUGGACUGAGCAUAACAUCAUUUUCGCAAAAUAAGAAUUGGUCUAAGACAACAUUUUUGUGAUCUUUAAACAACGUGAUAAUAUUUGCGCCCACCUUGCACUGAGAUGUUUAAUACUCAUCUGAAGGUACAUCGCAAAAUACGAAAUGCACAGUAUUACCUCUGCUAAGCAACACCCUUUUGGGAGACAAACAUUUCGGUUGUUGUAAAGAGGUGUUGCUCUACAGAGGUGAAAUAUAGUGAAAAUCUUUACUUUUGGGGAGUCAUAAUAUUGUUGUGGUAAAGAGGGUCGCUCUGCAGUGGUUUGACUGUAACUGUUUCUUCAACAAUUUCGCAGCGCUACAAACGCACGGACAUACCUAGAUACGUUCAGCAAAGGUUAUCAAAACAUCUUCUGGACUUCUGAUUUGGUCGUCAAUCAUUACAAUCAUGAUAAAAACUAUUGUUUUAUUCAUAUUGACGAGAAUACAUAUGACUUCACAAAUGACAUCAUCUUCGUGCUUUCUGUGUUACAUGUAAUUAGCAAAAUUAUACAUUUUCUAUUUUUAAACUCAUCCGGAAUAUCUCACCAAUUAUUCAUUAUCAACUCGGACACAAAAGGAAUAAAGAUAGUUCUUCCUCGUCAUGUCUCAGCUUAUUAAGUUACAGAUACAUACAUUUAUUGAACGUAAGGAAAAAAGAGACGUAUAUGACGUAAUGAUUGAGAAUGAUGACAGAAUGUGAAAAUGGAUUUUAAAAUACCAUAGGGAGAAUGGGGUGGCAUAGCGUUCGUAGCUGAGUGAUUUACGUCGAUGAUUUAAAACCUCACUGCUGUGGGUUCGAAUCCCGCCAAGGACAUUGGAAGUGUUUAUGUGAGAAGCUAGCUGAGAUCUUCCUUCAUAGUAAAGCUGGACAGUCACCAUAUGACGUUAACAAUGUUGGUGCUACUUUGUAUAUAUCAAGAUGACACUUUUUAAUCAAUCUGUCUACAGUAUAGAGCAUUGUCAUACUGCAAUGAUGAGCAGCCUGGAACAACUCUGUGUACGGGUGAAACGAUUUUAACUUGGUUUCAGCUACUAGUAGGUUUAAUUGUAAUUUUCUGAUUCCCAUUGCUGUUUUAACUUCUGUUUUCGAGGUAUCGAUAUUUGACGGAAAAUGACGAAAAGUUCCGAUUACUCCAAAAUGCCACCAUAGUUACCACUUUUAAAAUAGCCCAGAAAGUUAUAUGAAUGUUUUUGUUGUUUUUUGUUUUUUGUUUUGUUUUUUUUUCAUGUUUUCAAUAAAAAGACCAUAAAGCCCAGUAAGCAACGCGUUUGCAAGUUUGUUAAUAUUGUGACUGUAUAAAUUAAAGUAUAAAUGAAAAGUUCUAUCCAUUGAAUUUUUUAAGCUAGUUGAUAAAUAAUGAAUAGACUAGCUCUUUUAAACAAUAAAGCUGAAAUUUGUUUAAUCAAUCCAUACGACAAAAAAAUGCACAGAAAUAUAUUUAUACAGAAUUUAUUUUAGUUCAAUUAUGUAGAAAGCAAUACACACACUCUUGAAUCCGUUACUGGAACCAACCAGCAAUGAGUGUUAAGUUUCUUGCUCAAGGAAACAACGGUUUGCCUGUAAUCGGGUUGGAACCGACACGGCUAGAGAUCCUUAGAUCACUAGUAUGAUAUUUGAGUUGUGUAUAUAUUUUAGUAGUGUAAAAACCUACACUCAACGCAGCGAUCUCCCCUACAUUAUUCGGCGCGUACUGAUGAAGGGAAGUAACCGCUGCGAGGAGUUUAAAACUACAUGUAUAUGUUCUAGGACAAAUGUGUUAAAGUAAAAUUGGUACAGUUUUGUGUAUUUUGAUUAAAUUGUUGUUAAAUAGUUAAAGAUAACACUAUAGAAAUGGUUUUGACGUUUAUCUACCAUACGAAUGAUUCAUUUUUCGUUUCAAUUAUUUCAUUGGUUUCAUUUCCUUUUCCGUCCAUUUUAUAAUAUGUUGUCCAUAGAAAUCAUGAAUAAAGAUUUAUUAUAAAA